AAGUGGGAGAAGUAAAAAAAAAAAAAAAGUCUGUUUGGAGAGGAUUAGGAUUGACUAGACCAAGAUUGGGUCCUAGGAUGAGAAGCAGUAGGGAUGCAAAGCUGUUAGGAAAGGAGUGAGCCCAGGGAAAUGUGGCUUGAGUGGGUUUGAGUGAGACUGUGACAAGAAAGUUGCUUUUCAAAAUGGGAAAAUGCUGGGAUAGACAGAAAAAAAACAACAGCAUGGGGUACAACACUUGCUCUGUGCUCAAGACAAACUCUCAAUGAACAGCAAUUCAGUCUAUUAGUCCUCAUUUUCUGAAGAGCCUGGUCCUAAUCUGCCACACAGCAUUGAUUAUGGGAGCAUGCAUUUCCAGCAGGAUCCCUUAACAGUUACCUAUUCGUUAUCUGACUCACAGAUAAUGAAAUUCUUUUCAUACAGUGAUCUAUAAGGUGAAAAAAUUGUGUUUAGAGAAAUUCAUUUACAAAAAUAAAACAAAGACCUAGGGAUUAAGGUCACAAGUAUUGUCAAAACUGGAGCAAACAAUCUGAAGCACAAAGAAGUUACUUUUUUCUUUAUUUCUUUACAGAGAAAUCCAUCCUAUGCAUACUCGCAUGCACUUCAGAUACUGUUGCAAGAGCUCAGCAAUUCAGCAAGUCACGCACAACUAUCAGAAGAUCUAGCAUGUAUCAUUAGAAAGUUUGGUUUAAGUAAUUACCUAGCAUCGAGUUUUGUGGCAGAGAAAAGGAUGCACUCCAACUCCUAAAUAUAAUGAAACAGACACCAAACAAGCAGAAAUUGUAAGCAGUUCAUAACCAGAUCAAGCCCAUGAGCUUGCCAAAGGCAGACUGCACCUCAGGAAAAGGAGUCAGAAGUAUGUAGCAUAUAGAUUGUCCCCCACCCUCAAGGCCCCUCUGCAUACCUCCCUCUACCCAAGGCCUGCCAACCAGGGUAUUGCCCUUAGGAGCUGAGGAUGUGGGAUCUCAUCAGAAUGAAGCUUCUUACCAUCACUUACUACCUGCAGGUCGGAGGGGUGACAAGUCUCCGUGAUUGUUAUGCCAUUGGAGGUGGCUUUGGAAUGAACAUAGGAGGCAGAAGAAACAGAAAUGGCUUUGGGUAUGUGGUGUGGCCAAUGCACAAGACAUGCUGAGGAAGCAAAAACCAGCCUGAGGCUACAGAGUUUCCCUGUACUUGCACUUCCUGACCAUUGAAGGCUGCUGCAAUACCGUCAACAGUGUCAUAUUGUCUGGCAAAAGAAAAUAUUUUUUCUUCUAUAUUAAAAUGGUAUAUUUUAAGUAAAUAUGUGCAAAAAAAAUAUAGAA